rnacentral:rRNA from 1 species
AUACGGAGGGUGCAAGCGUUAUUCGGAAUCACUGGGCGUAAAGGACGCGUAGGCGGGUUGGCAAGUCAGAUGUGAAAUCCUACAGCUUAACGGUAGAACUGCAUUUGAAACUGCUAACCUAGAGUAUGGGAGGGGGAGAUGGAAUUAGUGGUGUAGGGGUAAAAUCCGUAGAUAUCACUAGGAAUACCGAAAGCGAAGGCGAUCUCCUGGAACAUAACUGACGCUCAGGCGUGAAAGCGUGGGGAGCAAACAGGAUUAGAAACCCCAGUAGUCC